rnacentral:lncRNA from 1 species
CGGAGAAACGCUGCUAACUGUUGUAGAAACACUACUAACACUGCUCCCUGGACGUGCCUUUGGUGAGCACAUGGACACAUUUCUUGGUCUAGCAAAGUUGCUGGGGGACAGGAAGGUCUGCUUGUGUCCAGCUGAGGGCAGCACUGUGAAGAAGUCGUAGCAUGUGGCACUUUUUAAAGGCCAAUCUUUGAGUAGGACGACACUGGCUUGGAAUUCACCUUCCAGUGGCAUUUCUGCUGAAGGCGGUAGAUGUCAGGGGACACAGCCAGGCAUGCUUGGGGCAGGUGGUAACAUAGGCUGUGUCCUGUUGAGCUGCACCUCAGCGUGUCAGCAUGCGCUACCACUUCACAUGAACAGGUGUGUCUUCUUUCAAGGAUUUUUAAUAGAUACCUUAGUUAACGCAUUCGCAAGAAAAGAUGGCGGGCUCAAAGGGCACCAUUCGAUUAGUAAAGGGAAACAAGGGACAGUGCCCAGGGACGCAGCAGUACACAAGUGCUCCCAACCUCAGGUCUGAAGGAGUGCGGUGCUGUGUCCUGCCGGGAGCUGUGGUCGUGGAGGGGGUCUGCCGGGCAGCUCUGGGUAGCAGAUGCAGGGAGCAGGUGGCCUGGGCUGGGGUGAAAGCUCCAAUCUGCCCUCAGCAGGUGUGCCCCUGGGCAAGGCCAGCUGGCACCCAGAGACAGGGAGCCAGCAGCUCCUCCUGGGUAGUGCCCUAGGGCACAGCAGGGAAGCCAGGGGCAGGGACAAACAGCACACAGGGAACGUAUUGAGAGGAUUUAGGGACAUACAGUAAAAUAUAAAACAAGAGUACUUAUGGCCUAACAACCAAAACCACGGGCCAGCACGUCCGUCGUGGAGUGCUGUUCCUCUCCCAGCGCAGGAAAUGGGACCCAGGCCUGCACGUGCUCCACGGCCACCUGGCAGCCCCACUUCUUAGGCCCUUAAAUAGUUGGGCUUGCGCGGUUUGGCUUUGUGCUAAGCUGGCGGCAGAAUGUCUUGGCAAGAGGACAUUUAAGGGAAAGUUCGUGGAAAAUGGCAACAGCAGGUACAUCCCCAGCUGUGCGUUGCUGUGACUGGAGUACUCGACGGGAGAGCUCAGAGCAGGGAGGCCAUCCUGGGUCAUGGUUCCAGGUCAGUGCGGGAGCCUGGAAGGAGGGAGGGGGAGGGCCGGGGUGAGGUACAGUCCCCAAAGGCAUCUCGCCCCUUACUGACUUCCUCCAAAAAGUCCCACCUGCCUACGGGGGUCCCGUCACCCCCCAGUAUCCAUUCACAUGACGAACCUUCAGGUGGGUUGACCACUGGUGAGUUGAGAGCCCUCCAUCCAGUCACUUCCCUAAAGUCCCACCUCUGGACUUCACUGCGUUGGACACCCAGCAUUCCACACACGACCUUUGGGGGACAUUCCACCCCGAAACCAUAACGGGUGGUGUGGCUCCCACUACAUAGAGAUUAGGGGCUCACAAAACAGAGUGGCUGCUCUCUGUAGGAGAAGGGGAUUUAUUAUUAGUCCCUUGUGCUCUUGAGAAUGGCAGCCUGAUGGGGGUGGCCAAGGGACGAUUAAGAAUGGCCUAGCAAAAUGGUGACUUCUGAUCUCCUCAUGAGUAAGAUUCCACUUCUUUUGAAGAGUUGGAACAUCUCUUUCCCAGGGAAAUGGGUUCAGCCCCCACUGAAGAGUGGGCAUGCAGCCCGGGCCUGGCUAUGGAGUUACCGGGGGGCCACCGGGGUUGGUGGAGGGGCCUUCCACCGGUGAGGGAAGCACAGGAGGGUGUCCCUGCCCUGAGCCAGCCCGCCUCCUGGCUAGCUUGGAACCGGAGGAGAAAGGCACUAUUAGGAGCUGCCAGGUGAAGAAUCGGGACUCUUGGCUCCGCGUCACUGAUGAGUGUUUGCAUCUUGGCUUUGAUUUGUCCCCCAAAUUAGGGCAAAUACUAGCAAGUGGUGCUUGCCCUUGACCCUGACCCUAGGCCGUCACAACUGGCACUUGUUAGGGAGACUUGAGAGGUGAAGUCCCACCGCAGCCAAGUGCAGGCGCCGAGGCUGACCCGCGGCAGUCUGGCUGCAGAGCCCCACUCUUGAGGAAUAAUGGCCUGACCCCCAACUUGGCACCCAGGCUGGCACUGCCAGGAAGCCGAGCAUGACUUGUGGCCUUGUCUCUGAUAGUGAUUGGUUGCAAAUUCAUCAUUGUCACCCCAGGGCUCUGUAAAAGCACACCCUUCACCAUGACAAAGCCACGUGGGAGGUGAUAGAUAAUGGGGGCAAACAGGCAAGGUAGAGAGGGUACAAAACCUGGCUUGGGGCAGGACUGGGUGUCCGUGGCCUUGGCAGUCUGGCUAAGGGGCUGGGCGGAAGGCUCCCCAUGGCUCUGGUAGCUCUGGGAAGGCUGGGCGUCCAGUUCUUCUCGUGCUUUGGGCCCCUGUUGCCUCCAAAUGACAACCAGUUCCACCAAGAAUCGUACUUCUUGUUGUGGCAAAUGAUGCACAGUAGUGUCUUCACCUUGGAGGUGCUGUCUUCCCACACUCCCAACCUGGGUCUCUGCAGCUUCCUGAGUGAUGAGCCUUUGCGUCCCGUGGAGUCUGUCUGCCUCUGUCCGCUCAGAGGCUCUGGGAUGUCCAAGCCAUUUGUUCCUCAGAUCUGUUCAAUAUCCUGAUGACGGUUUAGCAAGCGGAUCUUGUGGUUGGGAUCCCCACACACUCUGUUAUGACAGAGAGGUGACGUAGCCCUGAAGCAGAACUGUGCGUGUCUCCUGUUGGCCAGAAAGUGAGUGGCAUGGCAGGCCUUCGGGGAUAGGGCCUGGCUCUGCACAGUGCUGUUCCCUGAACCUGUGGGGGUCCCCAUUGAGUGCAUCCACUCCAGGUUGAGUCCUCUUUGGCGACCAGGGCUGGUGCACCCUGCCCUCUACGCAUGCCCCUUCCUCUUCCUGCCAUCUCUGGCCUCAUGGGCUCCUUCAUCAAGGGCAUGUGGCUGCUCUCCUGCGUUCCUCUUCCCAGCCCUCCGUCUCCCCUAUGGCACUGCCAGGGGGCUUCACGCUCAGCAUAUGUUGGUGCCAUGCCAGCUGCUUGCACUGCUUCUUGAAGAGCCUUGCGAUCGGGGUAGGCUGACUCCCCAGGCCCCGCCUCCACCUAACGUGUACUCCCACCUUCCUCCUGGACAUCGUCACUUGCCGCAGCCAGGUGGUCCUUGCCUUCUCUUUCUCAGCCUUCACUCGACUCAGUGUUCAUAAAGACAGAACCAUUACACCGGGGCUGGUGUCGCUCCGUGGUGGAGUGUCUGCCCAGCAUGCUCGGGCCCUGGGUGUUAUCCCUAUCACUGCACAAAUCAAACCAACCAACCACAUCAUUACAGCAGCAAGUGAUUCGGGCUCACGGGCCUCUGUUCAUUUUUUUUUUUGGACUGGAGAUUGAGCCCAGGGGCACUUAAUCAUUGAGUCACAUCCUCAGCCCUUUUUAUUUUUUAUUUUGAGAAGAAUCUGGCUAAGUCGCUUAGGGCCUUGCUUAAUUGCUGAGGCUGGCUUUGAACUUGCAAUCCUCCUGCCUCAGUCUCUCUAGCUGCUGGGAUUGCAGGCGUGCACUUUCAUGCCCAGCCCGCUGUUCAAUCUUUAGCACAGAUUCUGUCUGCAGGGCAUUCUGACCUCCUGCCUCCAGUCCCUUAGCCAUUUUCCUUGUUCAAAGCCUCAUUUCAUGGGCCUUAUAAAUGCCACUGUACCUUUAAUUCAUCCUCUUCCCUGCAGUCAGUGUAGAGGUCCUGUUGUGUGGCUUUAAUGAUAGAAUUUACCACCUCCCCUUUUUUCUUUUUCCUGUUUUGUGAUGCUGGUGAUUGAGCCCAGGGCCUUGUGCAUUCCAGGCCAGUGCUCUGCCACAAGCCACGUCACACACCUCCAAAACUGUAUUUGCCUUUAUUUCCACAGCAGUGCUUCCAUGAUUAAGUCUGGGCAUGGCCUCGUGUCAUGGGGUUGAGCCCCUGUGCCCAUCCUGUUUCCCACCAACCUAUACUAACUCUCCGUGUGUCCCACGACUCUGAUUCCACACGCUUCCUUGCAUGCUGCUCACCAUGUGGAAAUUCUUGAGUACCAGCCUCUGUUUUUCUUUCCAGUUCCUUUGUUGCCUUCCUUCCCAACUGAAUUACAUAGUGUUGGGGUACUGGGGGUGGAAUCCAUGGACACUCAGCCACCAAGCCAGAGCCCAAGCCUUUUUUUUAUAUUUAAUUAUUUUUUAUAUUUAAUGGUCUCGCUGAGUUGCUUAGGACUUUGCUAAGGUGCUGAGGCUGGCUUUGAGCUUGCAGUCCUCCUGCCUCAGCCUCCCAAGUCACUAGGAUUACAGGUGUGCAGCACUGUGCCUGGCUCUUUUUUCUGUUUGAGUCUUUCCAGUCAUCAUAGCAAAUGUCAGUUGUCAUGGUGCUGGGGGUGACCUCACUUUGCCUGCAGAUGGGAUUAUAAUGAAGUCAGAGGUUUUCUAGUAGCCAUCUUAGAUCCAACCAAUUUUGGCCAGCCCACCUGUGGAGGGACUCAUGGCCUCAGGCAUCCUGUCCUCAAGGAUAAGCAAGGCUAGGGUAGAAGAAAUUCAGCUUGUCACUAGGCAGUAUGAUGACUAACCCCUUUUUCUCCCUUUUUUGCAAUGUUGGGAAUUGGACCCAGGGCCUCACACAUGCUAGACAAGCAUUUGACCACUGAGCUACAUCCCCAAUCCUUUUUAUUUAUUUAUUUAUUUUUAUUUUGAGACAGGGUCUCACUGAGUUGCUGAGGGCAUUGUUAAGUUACUGAGGCUGGUCUCAAAUUUUUCUUUUUUUUUUUCUUUUUUUUUUUUUAAUUUUUAUUGUUGGUUGUUCAAAACAUUACAUAGUUCUUGACAUAUCAUAUUUCACACUUUGAUUCAAGUGGGUUAUGAACUCCCAUUUUUACCCCGUAUACAGAUUGCAGCAUCACAUCGGUUACACAUCCACUGUUUUUCAUAUUGCUAUACUAGUGUCUGUUGUAUUCUGCUGCCUUUCCUAUCCUCUACUAUCCCCCCUCCCCUCCCCUCCCAUCUUCUCUCUCUACCCCAUCUACUGUAAUUCAUUUCUCCCCCUUGUUUUUGUUUUUUUUUUCCCCUUUCCCCUCACUUCCUCUUGUAUGUAAUUUUGUAAAACCAUGAGGGUCUCCUUCCAUUUCCAUGCAAUUUCCCUUCUCUCUCCUUUUCCCUCCCACCUCUCACCCCUGUUUAAUGUUAUCAAAAUUUUCCAUCCUCCUACCUCGGCAUCCCCAGUGACUGUGACUAACUUUAUCUUCAAAGACAAGUGGGUAAUAUGUCUAAUUUGCAAAAAAUGGGUAAAAGUAAUUAUUUCAGGAAAAACAAUUAUGAAAUAUAAUCCUUGAGACAUAAUAAAUCAUGAAUAUGCCAAGUAUAUAGUUAGAAUCCACCAGUAAUAAUAUUGAAUUUUAUGUGAGCCCUGUGAUCCUGGAAAAGUGAAGACUAAGACGCAUCCUCCCUCCACACACACACACUUUUUUUUUAAGG